AUUUAAAUAGUUUAAAUAAAACGUUGAUUUGUGGUGUCAGAAAUAUAUAAUAUAUUUUAAAUU
rnacentral:tRNA from 1 species